UACGGAGGGUGCAAGCGUUGUUCGGAAUUACUGGGCGUAAAGCGCACGUAGGCGGCUUUGUAAGUUAGAGGUGAAAGCCCAGGGCUUAACCCUGGAAUUGCCUUUAAGACUGCAUCGCUAGAAUCGUGGAGAGGUGAGUGGAAUUCCGAGUGUAGAGGUGAAAUUCGUAGAUAUUCGGAAGAACACCAGUGGCGAAGGCGACUCACUGGACACGAUUGACGCUGAGGUGCGAAAGCGUGGGGAGCAAACAGG
rnacentral:rRNA from 1 species